UAGAGCCACCGCUGCUGAUUCGCAUUUGCUGUCCGGACUCUACCGAACUGGAUUGCUGGGGUAUCCGUGAAGUAUUUGCGAGUAGAGAUAGAGCUGCGGCUGCUGCUGCUGACCUGUGACCUGAACUGCUGAUUUCCUGACGACGCAGAUGGGAGUUGCUCCAAAGAACCUUUCUAAACAGGUCCACUUCCCCUGAAUCUUAUUUAUUUAUUUAGCAUACAUCUGGGAAUUUUCAAAUCAUGUUCCAAGGGGCCCUUGUUGCAUGUUUGACCAAACUCCAGUCAGGAAAAACCUCAUCGACCAUCCUGCUUAAUUAAACUCCCUUCAGACCUUUUUAAAACCAA